ACGGAAGGCAGCAGUGGGGAAUAUUGGUCAAUGGGCGGAAGCCUGAACCAGCCAUGUCGCGUGCAGGACUACGGCCCUACGGGUCUUAAACUGCUUUUGCAAGGGGAUAAAGUGGGGCACGCGUGCCCCUUUGCAGGUACCUUGCGAAUAAGGAUCGGCUAACUCCGUGCCAGCAGCCGCGGUAAUACGGAGGAUCCGAGCGUUAUCCGGAUUUAUUGGGUUUAAAGGGUGCGUAGGCGGGCUGUUAAGUCAGCGGUGAAACCCCCGGGCUCAACCCGGGGACUGCCAUUGAAACUGGCGGCCUAGAGUACGUUGGGAGUGCGCGGAAUGUGUGGUGUAGCGGUGAAAUGCAUAGAUAUCACACAGAACACCGAUCGCGAAGGCAGCGCACUACGCCGCAACUGACGCUGAGGCACGAAGGCGCGGGGAUCGAACAGGAUUAGAUACCCUGGUA
rnacentral:rRNA from 1 species